GCUUGAGAAGGUGACCUGGCUAUGACGCCCAUCACCACACUGAUCUGCAGUGUGGACAGGCUGCCGGGCUGUCGAGGGGUCCCCUUCCUCCCUGACGGCGUCAUAUGCACCCCUCCUGAAACUGCACAGACAGGACGCCUCUCCUGGAUGGAGGAAUGCUGUCCUGCAGUCAAGGGCAAACGGCCAGCCUUCUCUGCGGCAAGAGCCUCCAAAUGAGGUUUGAAAAGAAAAGCAUUUGCAACGGGUCAAACUCGUAGCAAAUUCACCUUUCAGUGCCACACCUGGGCCCUUACUAGACAGCUUGCCCACACUG
ensembl:misc_RNA 7SK 7SK RNA